GUUCGUCGCAGUGUCGUCGUUGGGCCCGCGCUGGUGCUCUUAAGGAGGCCCUACUUCCAAGCUCAAACCUUUUUUUUUUUUUUUGCCCGUUAUCUGAAUUUUCCACGUCAUUCUUUACCACCUACAAGACUAUCCGUCUCACGCACGCAGUCUGCACUUUAAGACUCUUUUAAGAUAUACAGAUUUAAGGCGGGUACUAACCAGAACCACGGCGGUGGCCAUGAUCACCAGAAAAAGAGGAAGAACCAGCCUCAAUGCCAAUGUCACAUGUACAAGUGCCUCCCAGGAGAGUGAUGUUGCUUUAAAAACCGGUAAUGUGAGUGAUGCAAGCACGCACACUUCUCCAGAAAGUGACACCAAUGAUUGGGGCCUGGAUGAGCUGUUUGGCUCUGAUUUCAACUGGGACCUGGACAACAAUGUGCUUGAUUCUUUCAGCAACUUUGAAACCCACACAUCGACCAAUGACGAGAUGGAUCAGAAUCUGGUGGCAGAUGUUUCCUCAUCCCGCCACAGAGGUGUGGUCCACAGUUCAAAACUGCAAGGUGUCUCCGAUCGAAUCAUCAACAAGAAUGCCAUGGCGGCAAGGAUGAAUCGUUUGAAGAAGAAAGAGUACGUCAGUGGCCUGGAGCAAAGAGUUGGCUCGUUGACGUCAGAGAACCGGAUUCUCAAACAGGAAAAUGGGAGCCUCAGUGAGAGAGUGGAAGAACUGGAGAAUGAAACUAGGUACUUGAGAGCCGUGUUGGCUAAUGAGAGCAUGCUGGCACAGCUGUUGUCUAGAUUGAGCGGUGUGAACGGCAUGAAAUUUUCUAACUCGCUUUUCCAGGAGUCCAACAAGAACGACCAUGAUUAUGCCAUGCCGAGGAAGAGGGUGAAGGUGGAAGACAAAGAUACUGCAGGUGGCAUCUGCCUGCAUGUGGACAAAGACCACGUCUCGGUGGAAUUCUGCACCAAGUGUGCAGAGAGUUCAAGCUUGUCGCACAAAAUUUUUCUUCUAGGUGCUUGGUCCGCCAUGCUGGAUGAGUGCAUCACAGAACAUCAUUGACUGCCGAAAACCAUGUGGAUUUUGCUGUGGGGGAAAGCAGAAGAGUCGGGACCAGCACCUUGCAUCAUGGCCCUGGUAAAUUUAAAAAGACAGCACUUUCUUCGCUCUCUACAAGAGCCUUAUCUUACCUCUCCUCAAAGUGGAUAAAGAGUGGUGAUGGUUUCUCCCCAUUAAAUACAAUCUAUAUGGCAGAAUUUCUUUAAGAGAUGGUUCAGCCAUAAAUUACUAUUGUCAUUUACUCAUCUUUAUGUUGUUCUAAACCCGAAUGACUGACUGUCUUCCGUGGAACAAAAAGGAAGGAGAUGUUAGGCAGUAUUUUAGGAGCUGGCAGCCACCUUUCAAAAAGGUCCCAUUCCAUUGAGAGUCCUAUUCUGUCUUGUGGGUUUGGAACAAUAUGAAGGUGAGUAAAUGAGGGCAGAAUUAACAUUUUUGGAUGAACAAUGCAUUUAAGGGCUCCAUUAGUGACAUGACAUGAUAGCCACUAAACAAAUGAACAGCUAUUUUGUCUGCUAAAGGUCUUUUAUUGGUAACUUUUCUCUGAUGUUGCAGAUCAACCCAAGCAGUUCUGAAAUGUGUAUCUAGCUGGGUUUCCAUCAAAAUGUUGCACAUUUCUGAAAAUUCAACUAAAGAAUAUGAGUCGUUGUAUGUAUCCAUCCACUACGUCACUCGCAUUGAGGGAGCCCACCUUGUCAUAAUGUAGCAGUUGAACGACCACUUGCCUCUGGGAUAGUUCUAUUUGCAGGAUUGAAGCAAUUGUACCUUGAUUUAUUAAAUGCUGCCAGGAGACGGCACAGAAAAAGUGAAAUAUCUGAUAUAAUGAGGGCUGAAAUGGCUGUGACGCCCACGCCGUCAGUCCGCAUACUUGGAGUGCCCCUGCUCCAACUGUUCUGGUGGAUUGUGAGGACCCAUUGUAACGACCAGCUGUGGGUUAAACACUUCCGAUGGCUGUGUUUGAAGAAAUGUGUGCCAAGGUCUGACUUUUCAUUGAGACUGUCACAUCAAGCUAUUGCACACUCGUGCACAAAUGGUCAAAACACGUCAUUGUUUUGCGAAUUGCACCUUAAUGUGCAUUUUAACUAAUGUGAAAAUCUAUAAAAUCCACCUUCUCCUAGCGCGUUACAUUUUUAAGCUGAUUUUGAGAGUUUAUUCAUGUAUCAAGCGGUUCCAUUCAGGAUUUCUUAUGCACAAUUUCAAAAUGCACAAAAAAAUUGUUGGAUGAAAACCCAGCUACUGUUGUUGAUGCAUUGUUUUGUUUCAGGGAUUCCAUAUUGCAGUCCAUGUGAAUACCACAAUUAUCUUAUUGAAUCCUUAGGCCAACAAUGGAAUUUCAGUUUUUUUAUUUUUAUCUAUUGUUAAAUCUUUUCCCCCCUCAGAUAAGACACAGGAGUACUCAAAGUAGUCUCCAAACAAAAGUCAGAUGUCAAAGUAAUUUGCUUAUUUCUACCCUUACAUUUCAGAAUUGUCUUGGUUGAUAAUUGUUGUUGGGGAUUGGAGUGUGCACAAAUGCACUUUAGAAAGUCUUUCUGUAGCAAUAUUGGAAAAGUGCACUUGUAGCCCAGUUGCUAACAGUAUCUAAUCAAUGUAAAUGUUCUCCAUACGAUAAUUUGGUAAGUUGUACACUGACAAAAGGGCAUUGGCAUUUAACACCACUGUUUAUCCACUCUCUCUCUCAUGGGCAUAUUGUACCUCUAUUUAAGGUUUUGUUUUAUCUUGGUAACAUCUAUAAUGUUGCUGCUCUUUACACUACCAUUCAAAAGUUUGUAAUUGCCGUGGUAUUUUUGUCAUUGAAAGAAAAUGAUAAUUUUCUACACCAAUGAUGCUUUUACAAUUUUUGAAGGAUUGCAGUAAAGACAAUUGUUACAAAUGACUUUCUAUUUAAUUAAAUGCUGUAUUCAGAC